AGCAACAACACACGGUAGGGGAAGAAACAGGGCUGACAAGACAGAGCUGUGGUGGGAACCAUGGGCAAGAGAGGCAGAUUGGCGGGCAACCAGGUGUGCACUCAGGAGGAGAGUGCAAAGAACCAGCCGUAUGAGUUGAUUCAGUGAGGGAAUGUUGAUGCCCAAGUUGAGGUCUGGAAAUCCAUUCAUAAACACGUUUCCUUGGAAGUCGCCUGUCAGACCUGAUGCCCUGAUGUUCAUUAAAAAUUGCUCAGGGUCUGGGGACCUGAUGGAUCACGGAAGGCAGGGAUGGUGCUAAGCAGCAAGAAGCCAGGAUGUUACUCUCACCGCAGGUUGCUGGGGCCCAGCCCUGAGCCUCGGAGUCAGUGGGUCUGGGAAGAGACUAGGAAUGUGCACCUGUAACCAAUUUCCAGGAGCGGUGACUGCUACUGUUCGUCUGGGAAGCACAUCUCAAAAAGCACCGACGUGUUCUCAGGUUUGCAUCCCAGCCCCUCUCAGAGGGUGAAUUUGGACAAGCAAUACGGUCCCACAUCUCCCUACCCACCAAGUAGAGCUAACAUCAGUGUCUACUCCCUGAAGAUCAAAUGAGAUCAGCCACAUGAAGACCUCCAUAAAUAUCAUCUCUCUUAUUAUUACCACUGUUGUUUCCCUUUUCAACUAUAUGUUGCUUGUGACAUGCCAUCAACCCUCAGAAAAUAGAAGAAUCAGGAAGGAUCGAGGAAAACUGCAAGAAUCCUCCUUCUGUGCAGUGCUCUGCUGCCUUUCCAGAUCUUUGCUAUAUAAGUGAUGCCAGCUCUAAGCAUUAAAAUUAAGAUGCUAAUUAAUGUUG